AAAAAACUCACAAUAAUAAUAUUUUAAAAAGAAUUUCAAAAUACAAGUAAACAGUCAAUAAUAAAAUAAGAACACAUUAUCAAAUUACAAGCAAUGGCACAAAAAUACAACUGGACAAAUAGACAAAUGAAAGAGAAACUGUUUAAUGUUUAGCAAUAUUAUUUAGAUAUGAAAUACUAUCAAUUAAAUAUAGCUUAAUUCUUAUUAAAGUUAAAGAAGUGAAGUCAAGAGCAGAUUUAAGCAAAGCGAUUUCAUUUUCUUUCGUUUUUAAAUAAAUGCAGGUUUAUAAAGCAGUUUUUUUCUCUCAUGAUAAAACCCAAAAGUGAAUUCAGGUCAGUGAUGUCUGAAAUGGGCUCUGUGUGCAAACAGAAAACAGCAAUACUGUAAAAAUGCCAGGACAUUAUUCAUAAAAUCUAAAGACAAUCCUAAAACACAAUGCAAUGAAGUGCAAAAAUUAAAAUACAUCUGUAAAAAAAUU